rnacentral:lncRNA from 1 species
AGGUGGUGAGAAUGGCGGGGUCAGCGGACAGCAGUGGGGCUACAGGCUGUGUCUGUGGCUGCCCUGGCUUAGGGCUCUGGCUGGCCCCUCCUUUCCGACCUGGUCUGGCAGAGCAGCCCCGCAGGACCAGCUCGCAAGGCUCCUGGGGCCAGUGGGGCUCUGUCCUGUGAGGCGGUCCCUCCGCAAGGACAGGUAUGUUUCUAUUCAGGUCUAUCAUUUUUGCUUCAUGUAUUUUGAAACUCUUGGUUAGAGACAGGGUCUUGCUGUGUUGUCCAGACUGGUGUUGAACUCCUGGUUUCAAGCGAUCCUCCCACCUGGGAUUACAGGCAUGAGCCACUAUGCCCAAUCAUCUCUCUGAGCUUCUUGGAUCUGUAGUUUCUUUCAGAAUUCCCAGUGGACCUGUACCUUGGAGGGAUGUUUCUUGAUGCAUGCUUGCCCCUUGUCCAGCAGUGGUCUCCUGUUCCUUGUUACUCAUGCUUGCUAGUCCAGUGAUGGGGACCAGUGAGGACUCUCUACUGUCCUGGUCCAGCCUCACUAUUAGACAGGCUAAAAGUUCUGUCAGCCUGUGGGAAGGGCAGGAAAUGGUCUGGCCCAAGUUCAUUAGAGGUUUUUGUUAUUGGUUUGUUUGUUUGUUUGUUUGUUUGUUUUGAGACAGAGUCUUGUUCUGUCACCCAGGCUGGAGUGCAGUGGUGCGAUCUCAGCUCACUGCAACUUCUGCCUCCUGGGUUCAAGCAAUUCUCCUGCCUCAGCUCCUGAGUAGAGGGGAUUACAGGCAUGUGCCACUAUGCCCAACUAAUUUUUGUAUUUUUAGUAGAGAAGGGGUUUUGCCAUGUUGGCCAGGCUUGUCUCAAACUCCUGACCUCAAGUGAUCCACCCACUUCAGCCUCCCAAAGUGUUGAGAUUACAGGUGUGAGCUAUCGCACCUGGCCAUGAGGUGUUCUACCACUGUUGGAAGGGUAGAAUGUUCUUUCCAGGUCAAGAUCCAUCAAAGAAACAAGGAAAAGUUUGGCUGUCUCAGAGAGGGGAUCAGGAUCACCAGGAAAUCUCCAGACAUGGAGAGCCAGUCUUUCUUGUGAGCAUCCAGUAAAGGUCUGUGGAGAAAAAUGUAUGAGAGAGGUGUGAAUUUUUCUUGUGUCUGUGACUCCCAGGAAUUUCAUAUUCACACAUUAGCCCACAAUUUGCCUUUAGUAAUUUUUUUUUUUAAAAGCUCCAGUCUGCAGCUCCCAGUGAGACCAACGCAGAAGGUGGGUGAUUUCCAGCUGAGGUGCCCGGUUCAUCUCAUUGGGACUAGUUAGGCAGUGGGUGCCACCCACAGAGAGCAAGCAGAAGCAGGGUGGGGCAUCGCUUCACCUGGGAAGUGCAAGGAGCCAGGGGACCUCCCUUCCACAGCCAAGGGAAGUGGUGAGGGACUGUGCUACCCUCCCUGGAUACUACACUUUUCCCGUGGAUUUUUGCAAUCUGCAGAUCAGGAGAUUCCCUCGUGAACUUACACCACCAGAGCCCUGGGUUUCAAGCACAAAACUGAGCAGCUGAUUGGGCAGGCACUGAGCUAGCUACAGGAGUUUUUUUGUACUCCAGCGGCACCUGGAACCAUAAUGAGACAGGAGACAGGAGAGACAGGAGAACCGUCCACUCCCCUAGAAAGGGGGCUGAAGCCAGGGAGCCAAGUGGUCUUGCUCAGCAGGUCCCACUCCCACAGAUCCCAGCAAGCUAAGAACCACUGGCUUGAAAUUCUCACUGCCAGCACAGCAGUCUGGAGUUGACCCAGAAUGAUCGAGCUUGGUGGCGGGAGGGGCAUCCACCAGUACUGAGGCAUUAGUAGGCGGUUUUCCCCUGACAGUGCUAAGGAGACUGGGAGGUUUGGAAUGGGCAGAAUUUACCACAGCAUGGCAAAGUGACUGUGGCCAGAUUGCUUCUCUAGAUUCCUCCUCACUGGGCAGGGCAUCUCUGAAGGAAAAUCAGCAGCUCCAGUCAGGGGCUUACAGAUAAAACUCUCAUCUUCCUGGUACAGAGCAUCUGGAGGGAAGGGCAGCUGCAGUCACAACUUCAGCAGACUUAUAUCUUUCCUGCCUCCUGGCUCUGAAGAAAGCAACUGAUCCUGACAAGGGGGAUUAUUCCAGCACAGUGUACUAGCUCUGCUAAGGAACAGACUGCCUUCUCAAGUGGGUCCCUGACCCCUGUGCCUCUGACUGGGAGAGACCUCCCAACAGGGAUCAACAGACAUCUCAUACAGGAGAGCUCUGGCUGGCAUCAGGCCAGUGCCCCCUGGGAUGAAGCUUCCAGAGGAAGGAGCAGGCAGCAAUCUUUGCUGUUCUGCAGCCUCCACUGGUGAUACCCAGGUGAACAGGGUCUGGAGUUGACCUCCAGCAAACUACAGCAGACCUGCAGAAGAGGGGCCUGACUGUUAGAAGGAAAACUAACAAACAGAAAGCAGCAACAACAACAACAUAAAAAAGAUCCCCACACAAGAACCCCAUCCAAAGGUCAUUAGCCUCAAAGAUCAAAGGUAGAUAAAUCCAUGAAGAUGAGGAAAAACCAGUACAGAAAUGCUGAAAAU